CCUACGGGUGGCAGCAGUGAGGAAUAUUGGUCAAUGGGCGCAAGCCUGAACCAGCCAAGUCGCGUGAAGGAUGACUGCCCUCCGGGUUGUAAACUUCUUUUAUAAAGGAAUAAAGUGAGGCACGUGAGCCUUUUUGUAUGUCCUUUAUGAAUAAGGAUCGGCUAACUCCGUGCCAUCAGCCGCGGUAAUACGGAGGAUCCGAGCGUUAUCCGGAUUUAUUUGUUUUACAGGUAUCGUAGAUGGGUUGUUAAGUCAGUUGUGAAAGGUCGCGGCUCAACCGGAAAAUUGCAAUUGAGACGGGCAGCCUUGAGUACAGUUGAGGUAGGCGGAAUUCGUGGUGUAGCGGUGAAAGGCUUAGAUAUCACGAAGAACUCCGAUUGCGAAGGCAGCUUACGAAACUGCAACUGACAUUGAGGCUCGAAAGUGUGGGUAUCAAACAGGAUUAGAUACCCCAGUAGUC
rnacentral:rRNA from 1 species